GCUCACAGCCAGACCAUCCUGAGAACACACGAACUUUGAUCUCUGAAGCUAAGCAGGGUCAGAUCUAGUUAGUAGCUAGAUGAGAGAAAAUGCUCAGCCCAGAAUUGUUUCCU
rnacentral:rRNA from 1 species